rnacentral:rRNA from 1 species
UGCCUUAGUAGCGGCGAGUGAAGCGGCAAAAGCUCAAAUUUGAAAUCUGGCGCCUUCGGUGUCCGAGUUGUAAUUUGAAGAUUGUAACCUUGGGGUUGGCUCUUGUCUAUGUUUCUUGGAACAGGACGUCACAGAGGGUGAGAAUCCCGUGCGAUGAGAUGCCCAAUUCUAUGUAAGGUGCUUUCGAAGAGUCGAGUUGUUUGGGAAUGCAGCUCUAAGUGGGUGGUAAAUUCCAUCUAAAGCUAAAUAUUGGCGAGAGACCGAUAGCGAACAAGUACAGUGAUGGAAAGAUGAAAAGAACUUUGAAAAGAGAGUGAAAAAGUACGUGAAAUUGUUGAAAGGGAAGGGUUUGAGAUCAGACUCGAUAUUUUGUGAGCCUUGCCUUCGUGGCGGGGUGACCCGCAGCUUAUCGGGCCAGCAUCGGUUUGGGCGGUAGGAUAAUGGCGUAGGAAUGUGACUUUACUUCGGUGAAGUGUUAUAGCCUGCGUUGAUGCUGCCUGCCUAGACCGAGGACUGCGAUUU